rnacentral:misc_RNA from 1 species
AAUUCGAUAGUUUGUUUCUUUGUCUUUGCCCCGUGCCCUUGAGGGUAGUGGGUAGACGUCAGGCAAGCCUCAUGUUCCUGGCAUGCCUCGCUUAGUUACGUGGUUGCCUUGGCCCAUGAGAUUCCUUGCCUGUGCUCUCGGAUGUAGAAUGUUAUGUGUUACAGGUGAGCGGUCUCCUGGAGGCCUCCAUCUAAUAAAGUAAUGCAUUUUGUCCAACGACACGAAUGACUGUUGUGCCUGUUUUUGAGCCUGCGGCCUCAUAGCUUGGCGGGGCUCAUA